rnacentral:rRNA from 1 species
CCUACGGGCGGCUGCAGUGGGGAAUAUUGGACAAUGGGGGGAACCCUGAUCCAGCCAUGCCGCGUGUGUGAAGAAGGCCCUCGGGUUGUAAAGCACUUUCAGUGAGGAAGAACGCCUGGUGGUUAAUACCCAUCAGGAAAGACAUCACUCACAGAAGAAGCACCGGCUAACUCCGUGCCAGCAGCCGCGGUAAUACGGAGGGUGCGAGCGUUAAUCGGAAUUACUGGGCGUAAAGCGCGCGUAGGUGGCUUGAUAAGCCGGUUGUGAAAGCCCCGGGCUCAACCUGGGAACGGCAUCCGGAACUGUCAAGCUAGGGUGCAGGAGAGGAAGGUAGAAUUCCCGGUGUAGCGGUGAAAUGCGUAGAGAUCGGGAGGAAUACCAGUGGCGAAGGCGGCCUUCUGGACUGACACUGACACUGAGGUGCGAAAGCGUGGGUAGCAAACAGGAUUAGAUACCCCAGUAGUC